UACGUAGGGGGCAAGCGUUGUCCGGAUUUAUUGGGCGUAAAGCGCGUGUAGGCGGUCUGGUAAGUCAGUUGUGAAAGUCGGGGGCUCAACCCUCGGAUGCCGGUGGAUACUGUCGGGCUUGAGUACGGAAGAGGCGAGUGGAAUUCCUGGUGUAGCGGUGAAAUGCGUAGAUAUCGGGAGGAACCCCAGUGGCGAAGGCGAUCAUCUGGGGUUGUUCUGACACUGAGGAGCGAAAGCUAGGGGAGCAAACGGG
rnacentral:rRNA from 1 species